rnacentral:tRNA from 2 species
CAGAGAGUAGUUUAGUCUAAAAUGCCAGCUUUGGGAGUUGGUGAUGAAGGUUUAAUCCCUUUCUCUUUGA